CUUUCUUUCUUUCUUUCUUUCUUUCUUUCUUUCUUUCUUUCUUUCUUUCUUUUCUUUCUUUCUUUCUUUUUUCUUUCUUCUUUCUUUCUUUCUUUUUUUGGGGAUAGAGUCUUGCUCUGUUGCUCAGGUUGGAAUGCAGUGGUGGUCACUGAAACCUUCACUCCCCGGGUUCAAAGAAGCAGAGAGGAGAGGUGAUGCAGAAUGAGAGAGAAAGGGAGACCUGAUAACAUUGUCCCUCUGGAUCCCAUGGCAUGUGGGGCUUGUUCUACCUCUGGACUUUUUCCAGAAGAUGAGAUCUCACUGUGCUGCCCAGGCUGGUCUCAAACUCCGGGCUCAAGUAAUCCUCCUGCCUUCGUCUCCCAAUGUGCUGAGAUUACAGGUGUGAACCACCAUGCCCAGCUAAUUAAACCGUUUAUUUGUUGCAA